rfam:Rhodobacter vinaykumarii strain DSM 18714 genome assembly, contig: Ga0111635_102
AAGUGGGACACCUCUCCCCAACGAGAGGCAUAUAUCUGUAAGGAUACCAUAG